rnacentral:rRNA from 1 species
UAACGAGCGCAACCCUAUCAUUAGUUGCCAUCAGGUCAAGCUGGGGACUCUAAUGAAACUGCCUACGCAAGUAGUGAGGAAGGUGGGGAUGACGUCAAAUCAGCACGGCCCUUACGUCCAGGGCUACACACGUGCUACAAUGGCCGGUACAAAGGGCAGCUACCUGGUGACAGGAUGCUAAUCUCAAAAGCCGGUCUCAGUUCGGAUCGGAGUCUGCAACCCGACUCCGUGAAGCUGGAAUCGCUAGCAAUCGCGGAUCAGAACGCCGCGGUGAAUACGUUCUCGGGCCUU